rnacentral:miRNA from 1 species
UUUAACCGUAGAAAUGGAUGA